UAUACAGUACAAAAGAGGAGAAGUUGUGAUCCAACCCUGCAGCCCCCACCUUGCCCAUUUUAAUCCCCCAAAUGCCAAAGGGGAUUCAAUUAUUGUAUCUAAGACCUCAGAACAGUCUCAUACUAAAUCAGAUCACCAACCCACCUAGCUUGGAAUUAUUAACUGCCAUAACUGAUAGCUGCCUCCUAGAUUUGGAUCUUUUCCAAAUCUAUAACUCCUGCAUCACAAGCUAUGGUCCUUUCCACCUCCAGAUAUCCAUCUAUGUUCGCAGCCUGAUUUUAAUACCUGAUGAAGCAAAUAUUCACCAACAAUGCUUCUAGUCCCUAAAGUGUCAUAAAUCCAUAAAGCAUUAAGCAACAUUAUAUGUACAAAGAACUUCCAUUCUUUAUGGUUUCAGCAAUGAAAAAUCCAGUUAAAGUGCCACCGAUUACAGAUAAUCAUACACUACCAACUCAUCUAAUCUGCUUGACCCAUGACCUAAUUGCAUAUUUCGAUAUGCCCUUGAAAAAGAAAUUGGUAAACAUAGCACUUUCCUUGUUAUCUACAAAACUUUCGUCUCAAUUAACGGUUGUUGCUACCUUUGAUAAGAAUGAUUCUGCCCUCAUCAAGAGCAUCUGGUUAGGAUAAUUUUGUCCAUAAUAUAUACUGUAAGAUAAUAUCUUACUCCUGUCUGCAUUCACGGGACUGAAUCUUCUUUGGAAGAUUGGAGAAGUAUUUGCUUCAUUCAUGAUGCUUCAGACAUAUUUUCAAUUAUGUAUUUUCAAUUAUACUGGCCAAAAUCAGUCUGGUCUCAUUUCUGCUUGCAUCGAUUUCCUCAUCAAUGCUUGCUCUUAAAACUACUGUAUAGGCUUUUAAAUAAAAGCCUGGAUUGAUCUGAAGCAUUUGGCAGACUUCAGCAUUCUGGUCAGCCGAGAGCUGCAGCAUAGAA